UACGGAGGGAGCUAGCGUUGUUCGGAAUUACUGGGCGUAAAGCGCACGCAGGCGGUCUGUUAAGUCAGAUGUGAAAUCCCCGGGCUUAACCUGGGAACUGCAUUUGAAACUGGCAGGCUUGAGUCUUGUAGAGGGGGGUAGAAUUCCAGGUGUAGCGGUGAAAUGCGUAGAGAUCUGGAGGAAUACCGGUGGCGAAGGCGGCCCCCUGGACAAAGACUGACGCUCAGGUGCGAAAGCGUGGGGAGCAAACAGG
rnacentral:rRNA from 1 species